rnacentral:rRNA from 1 species
AACGAACGCUGGCGGCAUGCCUAACACAUGCAAGUCGAACGAGACCUUCGGGUCUAGUGGCGCACGGGUGCGUAACGCGUGGGAAUCUGCCCUUGGGUUCGGAAUAACAGCGAGAAAUUGCUGCUAAUACCGGAUGAUGACGUAAGUCCAAAGAUUUAUCGCCCAAGGAUGAGCCCGCGUAGGAUUAGCUAGUUGGUGAGGUAAAGGCUCACCAAGGCGACGAUCCUUAGCUGGUCUGAGAGGAUGAUCAGCCACACUGGGACUGAGACACGGCCCAGACUCCUACGGGAGGCAGCAGUGGGGAAUAUUGGACAAUGGGCGAAAGCCUGAUCCAGCAAUGCCGCGUGAGUGAUGAAGGCCUUAGGGUUGUAAAGCUCUUUUACCCGGGAUGAUAAUGACAGUACCGGGAGAAUAAGCUCGGCUAACUUCGUGCCAGCAGCCGCGGUAAU